ACCCUCUGGUUCCCUUUCCCAUCGGAUCUGAACACUGAUCUUGGUGGUCAUAAAAGGAGGAAAAGUAAGACUGAAGCUGGCCUCACAGUGCUUACAAGUUUGAAACUGUGGGCUAGUUUCAAACAAGA